AUACGGAGGGUGCAAGCGUUGUCCGGAAUUACUGGGCGUAAAGGGCGCGUAGGUGGUUUGAUAAGUCAGAUGUGAAAUCCCUGGGCUUAACCUGGGAAUUGCAUUUGAUACUGUCAGACUAGAGUGUGGUAGAGGUAAGCGGAAUUCCCGGUGUAGCGGUGAAAUGCGUAGAUAUCGGGAAGAACAUCAGUGGCGAAGGCGGCUUACUGGAUCAACACUGACACUGAGGCGCGAAAGCGUGGGUAGCAAACAGGAUUAGAAACCCCAGUAGUCC
rnacentral:rRNA from 1 species